rnacentral:rRNA from 1 species
UACAGAGGGUGCAAGCGUUGUUCGGAAUUACUGGGCGUAAAGCGCGUGUAGGCGGUUAUCCAAGUCGGGUGUGAAAGCCUUGAGCUCAACUCAAGAAAUGCAUUCGGUACUGGGUGACUAGAGGACCGGAGAGGAUAGUGGAAUUCCCAGUGUAGUGGUGAAAUACGUAGAGAUUGGGAAGAACACCAGUGGCGAAGGCGGCUAUCUGGACGGUUUCUGACGCUAAGACGCGAAAGCGUGGGGAGCAAACAGG